UUGCCUGUUGCUACGCGUGUUACCUCAGUACCUAGGCUGGGGUUUUUCGAAAGUCAGGUACCUGAAGUAGCGCGCGCAGCGGUGGUGC
rnacentral:pre_miRNA from 1 species